GACGAACGCUGGCGGCGUGCCUAAUACAUGCAAGUUGAGCGAUGAAGAUUGGUGCUUGCACCAAUUUGAAGAGCAGCGAACGGGUGAGUAACGCGUGGGGAAUCUGCCUUUGAGCGGGGGACAACAUUUGGAAACGAAUGCUAAACCGCAAUAACACUUUAAAACUUAGGUUUAAGGUUGAAAAGUUCAAUUUGCUUAAUCAAAGGAUGAUCCCGCGUUGUAUUAGCUAGUUGGUGAGGUAAAGGCCCACCAAGGCGAUGAUACAUAGCCGACCUGAGAGGGUGAUCGGCCACAUUGGGACUGAGACACGGCCCAAACUCCUACGGGAGGCAGCAGUAGGGAAUCUUCGGCAAUGGACGAAAGUCUGACCGAGCAACGCCGCGUGAGUGAAGAAGGUUUUCGGAUCGUAAAACUCUGUUGGUAGAGAAGAACGUUGGUGAGAGUGGAAAGCUCAUCAAGUGACGGUAACUACCCAGAAAGGGACGGCUAACUACGUG
rnacentral:rRNA from 1 species